rnacentral:rRNA from 1 species
AGAACGAACGCUGGCGGCAGGCUUAACACAUGCAAGUCGAGCGCCCAGCAAUGGGAGCGGCGGACGGGUGAGUAACACGUGGGAACAUGCCUUUCGGUACGGAACAACUGCGGGAAACUGCAGCUAAUGCCGUAUACGCCCUUACGGGGAAAGAUUUAUCGCCGAAAGAUUGGCCCGCGCCUGAUUAGCUUGUUGGUGAGGUAACGGCUCACCAAGGCUUCGAUCAGUAGCUGGUUUGAGAGAACGACCAGCCACACUGGGACUGAGACACGGCCCAGACUCCUACGGGAGGCAGCAGUGGGGAAUCUUGGACAAUGGGGGAAACCCUGAUCCAGCCAUGCCGCGUGAGUGAUGAAGGCCUUCGGGUUGUAAAACUCUUCGACGGGACGAUAAGUGACGGUACCGUAGAAGAAGCUCGGCUAACUCGCGCCAGCAGCCGC